GAGUUUGAUCAUGGCUCAGAACGUACGCUGGCGGCACGCCUAACACAUGCAAGUCGAACGAAGUAGCAAUACUUAGUGGCAGACGGGUGAGUAACAUGUGGGUAUCUACCCUUUGGCCUGGAAUAACACGAGGAAACUUGUGCUAAUACCGGAUAAGUCUUUACGGAGAAAGCUUUAUGCACCAUUGGAUGAGCCCGCACUUGAUUAGUUUGUUGGUAGGGUAAUGGCCUACCAAGACUAUGAUCAAUAGCUGAUUUGAGAGGAUGAUCAGCCACAUUGGGACUGAGACACGGCCCAAACUCCUACGGGAGGCAGCAGUGGGGAAUCUUGCACAAUGGAGGAAACUCUGAUGCAGCGAUGCCGCGUGAAUGAAGAAGGCCUUUGGGUUGUAAAG
rnacentral:rRNA from 1 species